AGCAGAACCCGCGGCCGGCUGAGUCCUCUCCAGCCGCGAGAGGCGGGCUCCAGCCGCGGCUCGCGCGCUCGCUCUGAGCCCCCGCGCCCAGGUGGGAUGGAAGAAGCCUGUCAGGUUGUCUGUGUUUUCCCCUGUGAAAGCAUUCAGGAUCUUAAUUUUAUGCUGUGGAUUCUGAACUUAAUAAUUUGGGUGCAGACAACUAAGCGAGGGGAUCCUCAUGAGUUAAGAAACAUAUUUCUACAGUAUGCCAGUACUGAGGUUGAUGGAGAGCAUUACAUGACCCCAGAAGACUUUGUUCAGCGCUAUCUUGGACUGUAUAAUGAUCCAAAUAGUAACCCAAAGAUCGUGCAGCUCUUGGCAGGAGUAGCUGAUCAAACCAAGGAUGGGUUGAUCUCCUAUCAAGAGUUUUUGGCAUUUGAAUCUGUUUUAUGUGCUCCAGAUUCCAUGUUCAUAGUGGCUUUCCAGUUGUUUGACAAGAGUGGAAAUGGAGAGGUGACAUUUGGUAAGGGAAAAAGAAGAUUAUAAAUGAUAAGUU
rnacentral:sRNA from 1 species